rnacentral:tRNA from 1 species
CCAGCUUUAGCUCAGUGGUAGAGCAUCUGACUGUAAAAAAGAAAAAAUCAGAGUGUCGCUGGUUCAAGUCUAGCAAGCUGGA